AACUUAAAUGAAUUGACGGGGGCCCGCACAAGCGGUGGAGCAUGUGGUUUAAUUCGAAGCAACGCGCAGAACCUUACCAACCCUUGACAUGGGUAUCGCGAUUUCCAGAGAUGGAUUUCUUCAGUUCGGCUGGAUACCACACAGGUGCUGCAUGGCUGUCGUCAGCCCGUGUCGUGAGAUGUUCGGUUAAGUCCGGCAACGAGCGCAACCCACGUCUUUAGUUGCCAGCAUUCAGUUGGGCACUCUAAAGAAACUGCCGAUGAUAAGUCGGAGGAAGGUGUGGAUGACGUCAAGUCCUCAUGGCCCUUACGGGUUGGGCUACACACGUGCUACAAUGGCAGUGACAAUGGGUUAAUCCCUAAAAGCUGUCUCAGUUCGGAUUGGGGUCUGCAACUCGACCCCAUGAAGUCGGAAUCGCUAGUAAUCGCGUAACAGCAUGACGCGGUGAAUACGUUCCCGGGCCUU
rnacentral:rRNA from 1 species